rnacentral:lncRNA from 1 species
GAGACAUGACCCAAGCCCUGUGGAGGCAGACACAGACCCUGGCCACCAUCACUUUCUAGGCACUUUCUAUUUUGGUCCCAGCCCCACUCGCUGCUCCAGGAGAGACCUGAGGAGGACAUGGGGACGUGGAGCAGUCCCAGGUUUGGAAAGCCCAAGGAUAUCCCCAUUUUCUGCUGGUUUUGGGAGACAAGCUGUCAGAUGAUGCAGCCUGGAUCAGCCCAGCUAAGCCUGGAGAAGAUCAGGAGCAGAUUUGGAUGAGGAGAUCAUUUGCCAAAUCAUUAAAGGAAAGAAUGAAGAGAAUGGGAUGACCAGCAACUAAAAACUGCGUUUUUCUUAACAAAUUUAUGUGAUUAUAAUAUUAUUUUGAAGAAAAUCAUUUUAGAAAGAAAGAAAAAUUGGAUGAGAUUGCUUUUGAGGUCAGAUUCUCGACUCAGUUACACCAGUAGCUCUCUGAUCUACUGUAGCAAUUCAAGCCAUCAUGUUCACAUUUUCCAUCAAAUAAGUGGACAGAACUCUGAUGGCAGCUUGUCUGGUGACAGACUCUGUAUGUGCACCCAGUGCUUACUUGCCAAAAUACAAACCAUCAACAUUUUCCCUGCUUGCACUCCCAGAUCAGGACUCUGAAAGAAUGUUGUGCAGGCAGGAUUGCAGUGCUUCUUGCACCACCUUACAUCAACAUCCACUUCCACCUCCUUUUACACCAGCAGAAGUUCAGAAGCCAGGGAAUAAAGAGCUGCUUCAAGGAAGGCAUUUUUUUGUGUGCUGCAAGGAUGCUGUGUCCGUGGAGGUAAGUGCCAAAGUGAUGGGGAUGCAGCUGAGGCACAGCCUCUGCAGCUCUGAGCUGUGUGGGUCCUGUAAAACGAAACACGAACAGAAAAUGCCUUCAUGUGCUCGCCUUUCCCAGUCCUGCUGGCUGGUGCUUCAGCUUCCUGCUGGGAAGGGCAGGCAAGGAUCCAGGCAAGGCUUUUCUGAAGGGUUUUAUCUGCUCCUCUUUAGCACCUCUUUGCCUCUGCACAGUUGUUUUGCUCCAGAAGUCUCUGAGUAAGUGGGGACCACUUUUGUCACUGCAUGCCAAACCCUCAUCCCUUGUGAAAUCUGCCGAGAGUGGGCUUCAGCCCAGCAGCCUGUCCAUCGAAGUGGCUGAUUUAACAUUACCAAAAGUAAUUU